UAAGACGAACCGAGCGAACGUUAUUCGGAAUUACUGGGCUUAAAGGGUGCGUAGGCGGCGUGGUAAGUGGGGUGUGAAAGCCCUCAGCUCAACUGAGGAACAGCGCUCCAAACUACCAUGCUCGAGGGAGACAGAGGUCAGUGGAACUUCGGGUGGAGCGGUGAAAUGUGUUGAUAUCCGAAGGAACACCGGUGGCGAAAGCGACUGACUGGGUCUCUUCUGACGCUGAGGCACGAAAGCUAGGGUAGCGAACGGGAUUAGAUACCCCGGUAGUCCUAGCCUUAAACGAUGAGCACUGGAUCGAAGGGAUCCCCAUGUCCUUUUGGUCGCACUGAAAAAGUUAAGUGCUCCGCCUGGGGAGUAUGGCCGCAAGGCUG
rnacentral:rRNA from 1 species